AUUGAACGCUGGCGGCAUGCCUUACACAUGCAAGUCGAACGGCAGCGGGGGAGAAGCUUGCUUUUCCUGCCGGCGAGUGGCGAACGGGUGAGUAAUACAUCGGAACGUGCCCUGUAGUGGGGGAUAACUAGUCGAAAGAUUAGCUAAUACCGCAUACGACCUGAGGGUGAAAGUGGGGGACCGCAAGGCCUCAUGCUAUAGGAGCGGCCGAUGUCUGAUUAGCUAGUUGGUGGGGUAAAGGCCUACCAAGGCGACGAUCAGUAACUGGUCUGAGAGGACGAUCAGCCACACUGGGACUGAGACACGGCCCAGACUCCUACGGGAGGCAGCAGUGGGGAAUUUUGGAUAAUGGGCGAAAGCCUGAUCCAGUAAUGCCGCGUGUGUGAAGAAGGCCUUCGGGUUGUAAAGCACUUUUGUCCGGAAAGAAAUGGCUCUGGUUAAUACCUGGGGUCGAUGACGGUACCGGAAGAAUAAGGACCGGCUAACUACGUGCCAGCCGCCGCCGUAA
rnacentral:rRNA from 1 species